rnacentral:rRNA from 1 species
UACGUAGGGGGCAAGCGUUGUCCGGAAUCAUUGGGCGUAAAGAGCGUGUAGGCGGCUUGGUAAGUCCGCUGUGAAAGUCCAGGGCUCAACCCUGGAAUGCCGGUGGAAACUGUCAAGCUUGAGUCCGGAAGAGGCGAGUGGAAUUCCUGGUGUAGCGGUGAAAUGCGCAGAUAUCAGGAGGAACACCGGUGGCGAAGGCGGGUCACUGGACCGGAACUGACGCUGAUGCGCGAAAGCGUGGGGAGCAAACGGG